ensembl:lncRNA
UAUCAACAGAAAGACUUUCAGGACAAAUUUAAUCAUGUUUUUAGCCUUUUGUUCUGGUUUAUAAACAGCUUUUCGAGUCUCUGAAAAUGCAAUAUAUAUGUAUAUGUAAAUAUCACAUCGAGAAACAGAUUGUGUGCAUUGGCUAGGCUAGGCACAAAUUUAAUAUUUAUCUCCUGGCUUCAAUCCAAGAAUUCAUUUAACUUACUCGUGCUGAUGACUAGAUAAGUAUUUAGUGGACUGGGGCCUAGAAAGGGAACGCUUUUUUUAAAUUUCUUCUUUUUUUCCUUUUUUUUUGUCUUUUCCCCAGUCCUAAACUUGCAAUGCUUGCCUGGUUUUUAUAUGUCUGAAAGUUGUGUCAGGAAAUGUAAUUUACCUUUUAAUUUUUUUUCUUUGCUCAGAGGAGCAGGACAAAGCAGUACAAAUAAAAAUGUGAUACAGAAUAUUAAGAUGAAGCUAAAUUAAUUAUGCAAAAUACAAUUCAGCGGCUUAGGAGGCAUUUUUUUUUUUCUUACUGAAUGUAUGGGAACUACUGAGUCACAGACUGAACCACUGAUUGAUCACCUGAGGCAAGGGCUGAGUCAGCCCUGGGAGCACAGGUGAAGGCAAUUCACCUGUUUGACCAGAAGGGGUGGAGCCUAGCUGCACCUCUACUAGAUCUGUUUAAAGGCUGACUGAAGCUGCAGAAGGAUCUCUUUCUGGAGAUUCUCCCUUUGGAGUCUUCUACUGUGAGCCUAGGACACGGCUGAAAUGGGAUAGAGUUUAUUGAUGGGCUUUCCUUCUGGAUUCCAUUGGCUUGAAGAGGUGGGGAUCUGUAAAGUCUGCAGUGCAUGAAGACUUCUCAUCCCCUUCCUCUGCAGUUCAGCCUCAGGGAAGGACCCUGUCAGGACUGGGUCCCAAGUGUCUUGGUGCUCUGUUUACUCUUGCUCUUGAAUAAACUCUGAGGGCUUUCAAUUGGGGCACUACAGACACCAGCAUGUCUAAAUGAAUUGAACACCUGCUGACACGACCGAUCAUAGAGGUUGGGUGAAAAGAAAAGUCUGAGACAGAUUUAAAUUUCUCAGCCAGUUGUGUUGCCUCUGUCAAGCCCUGAUGCUUGAUGCACUUCUCCUGUACCAGCCCUGCACUGGAGCAGGGCCUCCUCUCUGCUGUACAAGACAGUGUUUUCUCCUGCCCCUGGCACAGCACGGCUGGCAGAACUCAUGUAUUGGUGCAGCUCUCUUCCAUCCUCUUCUUUUCCAGGCUCCAUCUCUCCCCACUACUUGCUAUGUUUUGGCAGCACAGUCGCCACUCAGCAGCUUUAUUUCUGGUACUGGAAAAGAACAGGGUUCUCUGUGGAAUAGAGGCAUUCACUGCAAUAUUGCAC